rnacentral:rRNA from 1 species
CCUACGGGGGGCAGCAGUGGGGAAUAUUGGACAAUGGGGGCAACCCUGAUCCAGCCAUGCCGCGUGUGUGAAGAAGGCCCUCGGGUUGUAAAGCACUUUCAGUGAGGAAGAACGCCUGGUGGUUAAUACCCAUCAGGAAAGACAUCACUCACAGAAGAAGCACCGGCUAACUCCGUGCCAGCAGCCGCGGUAAUACGGAGGGUGCGAGCGUUAAUCGGAAUUACUGGGCGUAAAGCGCGCGUAGGUGGCUUGAUAAGCCGGUUGUGAAAGCCCCGGUCUCAACCUGGGAACGGCAUCCGGAACUGUCAAGCUAGAGUGCAGGAGAGGAAGGUAGAAUUCCCGGUGUAGCGGUGAAAUGCGUAGAGAUCGGGAGGAAUACCAGUGGCGAAGGCGGCCUUCUGGACUGACACUGACACUGAGGUGCGAAAGCGUGGGUAGCAAACAGGAUUAGAUACCCUAGUAGUC